UACAGAGGGGGCAAGCGUUGUUCGGAAUUACUGGGCGUAAAGGGCGCGUAGGCGGCCUGUUAAGUCGAACGUGAAAUCCCCGGGCUCAACCCGGGAACUGCGUCCGAUACUGGAAGGCUUGAAUCCGGGAGAGGGAUGUGGAAUUCCAGGUGUAGCGGUGAAAUGCGUAGACAUCUGGAGGAACACCGGUGGCGAAGGCGACAUCCUGGACCGGUAUUGACGCUGAGGCGCGAAAGCCAGGGGAGCAAACGGG
rnacentral:rRNA from 1 species